AAACCGUUCGGGGGAAAACGGACAGAGCCCGUGAAUUCGGGCGAGUGAAUUCAUGAUGGAUGACGCGCGCAUUUGUGUGUGCGCUAUCUGUUUGAUAUUUCGCUCGCCGCGAACGUUGCGACCCGUUCGAUGUUAAACGAAGGGCGAGUGGUUAAAGUUUUGUCGCGUGCUUGAGGUUCGCCACAUGUACGCGUCGAAGUCUGUUCGCAUAUCCCGUUUAACUAGUCGGACGGUAAGCUAGUGGUAGGCGUUUGCGUGUGCUUGCACGCGCAUACGUUGCCGGUCAGUGACGAAUCAUCGGGCCUCUUUCCGA
rnacentral:rRNA from 2 species